rnacentral:rRNA from 1 species
GUGCCAGCAGCCGCGGUAAUACAGAGGUCCCGAGCGUUGUUCGGAUUCAUUGGGCGUAAAGGGUGCGUAGGCGGCUUUCUAAGUCUGAUGUGAAAUCCUGGGGCUCAACCCUGGAACUGCAUUGGAUACUGGGAGGCUAGAGUACUGGAGAGGAAACUGGAAUUUACGGUGUAGCAGUGAAAUGCGUAGAGAUCGUAAGGAAGACCAGUGGCGAAGGCGAGUUUCUGGACAGUUACUGACGCUGAGGCACGAAGGCCAGGGGAGCAAACGGGAUUAGAAACCCCGGUAGUCC